CAUAAAACUCGGAAGGGGGCGUCUUUCCUGAAAGCACAAUCAAGUACAAAGCUCACCUCCAUUUCAUUAUCUCCGUUCCUGAUAACAAUUUAAACCAUAAACACAAGAUCUUUUAGAAUGUCGACGUGUAUAAAUAAGAAAUUACCAACGUUGUUCAGGGUGGUACUUUGUAAUUAAAUCUUGAAUGUCAUUGUUGUCGUAAAAGUAAUCAACCAAUGACCACAAAUUAAGAUAUGCAACGUCCAUCUUCAGCAAUUUUAGAAUUUGUUAGACGAAAUUCACAACGUCGGUUACGUAGGAAAUACAGUGAGUUAUAAGGUGUUUGAUAUUAUCCGACCAUACCAAGCAGAGAACACUUGUGACUCUCGUGGACAGACCUCUUGACCAGCGGCGGUUCGCAAAACAAGACACGUGACGCAGAAACCAUACCUUCUACACCAUCUCCGUUUGAACCUGAGGCUGAAGCGCGGAACCUCUGAAGCAGGUAAGGGACUGUAAGAACCUCGAAGGUCUGCCAUUUUGUAGAAAUCGUUUUAAUAACUUCCAAAAUAGGCGAGUAUAAUUGUUAGAAGAUUAAAUUACACUACUGUACUAAAAGUUAAAUCAGCGCAAACAGCUUUUUAUUUAACAGUAACUAUUACAUGAACUAAAGACUAAGUACACAUACAUAAACACUCAAAUUUGACGUAAUAAAAUGUUGCUACUAGAUGGCGUACAUUAUAAGGAAAAACGUAUUUAAUUUUCUAUGGUGUUUUUACUUGUCUUUCACUCAUGAGAGUGAAACUAUUGUUAU